UACGGAGGGUGCGAGCGUUACUCGGAAUUACUGGGCGUAAAGCGCGUGUAGGUGGUCUUAUAAGUCUGGUGUGAAAUCCCGGGGCUCAACUCCGGAAGUGCAUUGGAUACUGUGAGACUGGAGUACAGGAGAGGAUGGCGGAAUUCCAGGUGUAGAGGUGAAAUUCGUAGAUAUCUGGAGGAACAUCGGAGGCGAAGGCGGCCAUCUGGACUGUAACUGACACUGAGACGCGAAAGCGUGGGGAGCAAACAGG
rnacentral:rRNA from 1 species